rnacentral:rRNA from 1 species
CCUACGGGUGGCAGCAGUGAGGAAUAUUGGUCAAUGGGCGAGAGCCUGAACCAGCCAAGUCGCGUGAAGGAUGAAGGAUCUAUGGUUUGUAAACUUCUUUUAUAUUGGAAUAAAGUGAGGACCGUGUUCCUUUUUGUGUGUACCAUAUGAAUAAGCAUCGGCUAACUCCGUGACAGCAGCCGCGGUCAUACGGAGGAUGCGAGCGUUAUCCGGAUUUAAUGGGUUUAAAGGGUGCGUAGGUGGUUAAUUAAGUCAGCGGGUAAAUUUUGUGGCUCAACCAUAAAAUUGCCGUUGAAACUGGUUGACUUGAGUAUAUUGGAGGUAGGCGGAAUGCGUGGUGUAGCGGUGAAAUGCAUAGAUAUCACGAAGAACUCCGAUGGCGAAGGCAGCUUACUAAACUAUAACUGACACUGAAGCACGAAAGCGUGGGGAUCAAACAGGAUUAGAUACCCUUGUAGUC